UUUUGUUUUUAAUAAGGCUGGCUAAUGGUUUAUCUAUCUUGUUAAUUGUUUCAAAGAAACAACUCCUGGUUUUGUUGAUCUGUUCCACAGUUCUUCUGGUCUCUAUUUCAUUGAGUUCUGCUUGAAUCUUUAUUAUCUCUCUUUUUCUGCUUGGUGUAGGUUUUACUUGCUCUUCUUUCUCCAAUUCCUUUAGGUGCAAGGUUAGCUUGUGUAUUUGAGGGUUUUUUUUUUCCAAUUUUUUGAGGGAUGCUUGUAUUGUGAUGCAUUUCCCUCUUAGGACUGCUUGUCCUGUAUCCCAAAGAUUUUGAACGGUUGUAUCUUCAUUCUCAUUAGUUUCCAUGAAUCUUUUUAACUCUUCUCUAAUAUCCUGGUUGACCCUAUUUUAAUCUUUUGGCAGGAUGGUCUUUAACCUCCACGUGUUUGAAUUGCUUCCAAAUUCCUUCUUGUGAUUGAGUUAAGUUUUUUAUCUGUCAUUUGCAGAAAGUCCCAUGUUGAAAUCUCCUAAUAUUAGUGUACUAUUAUCUAAGUAUGUCUUUACUUUGGUUAUUAAUUGAUUGAUAUAAUUGGCAGCUCCCACAUUCGGGGCAUAAAUAUUCAUGAUUGUUAGGGCCUCUUGUUGGAUAGACCCUUUAAGUACGAAACAGUGUCCCUCUUUAUUCUUACUACAGUCUUUGGGAUAAACUUUAAUUUAUCUGAUAUGAAGAUUGCUACCCCUACUUUCUUUUGAGAACCAUUUGAACGGAAAUAGUUCUCCAACCUUUAAUUUUCAGGCUGUAGGUGUCCUUAGGUCAUAUGAGUCGCUUGUAGACAGCAAAUAGAUGGGUCUUGCUUUUUUAUCCAGUCUGAAACCCUGCGUCUUUUGAUGGGAUCAUUAAGCCCAUUCAUAUUCAGAGUUACUAUUGAAAGAUGAAUUUAGUGUCAUCAUAAUACCUAUUCAGUCCCUGUGUUUGUGGAUAAUUUCUUUGGGCUUCCUGUUUCUUUUACAGGAUUCCCCUUAAUAUUUCUUGCAGAGCUCGUUUGGUGGUCACAUAUUCUUUCAGUUUCUGCCUAUCUUGGAAGCUCUUUCUCUCUCCUUCUAUUCUGAAUGAGAGCCUUGCUGGAAAAAGUAUUCUUGGUGCAGGUUCUUCUUAUUUAGGACCCUGAAUAUAUCCUGCCAGCUCUUUCUGGCCUGCCAGGUCUCUGUGGAGAGGUCUGCUGUUAAUCUAAUAUUUCUCCCCAUAUAAGGUAGGAAUCUCUUGUCUCUUGCUGCUUUAAGGAUUUUCUCUUUAUCUUUGGAAUUUGCAAGUUUCACUAUUAGAUGUCAAGGUGUUGAACAGGUUUUAUUGAUUUGGGGGGGGGGGAAUCUCUCUGUUUCCUGGAUCUGAAUGCCUGUUUCCCUCCCCAAAUUAGGGAAGUUCUCAGCUAUGAUAUGUUCAAAUAUGCUUUCUGGUCCCCUGUCCCUCUCAGUGCCCUCUGGAACCCCAAUUAAAUGUAGAUUUUUCCUUCUGAGGCUGUCAUUUAUUUCCCUUAACCUUCCCUCAUGGUCUUUUAAUUGUUUUUCUCUUUUUUCCUCAGCUUCCUUCCUUGCCAUCUACUUGUCUUCUAUGUCACUCACUCUUUCUUCUACCUAAUUAACCCUUGUCAUUAGGACCUCCCGUUUGGAUUGCAUCUCAUUUAAUUGAUUUUUAAUUUCGGCCUGAUUAGAUCUAAAUUCUGCAGUCAUGAAGUCUCUUAAAUCCUUUAUGCUUUUUUCCAGAGCCACCAGUAGCUUUAUAAUUGUGCUUCUGAAUUGGGUUUGUGACAUCAAGUUGUAAUCCAAAUUCUGUAAUUCUGUGGGAGAGGGUACUGUUUCUAAUUCUUUUGUGGUGAGUUCUUCUUUCUAGUCAUUUUGCUCAGUGCAGAGUGGCUAAAAACGAGUUGUA
rnacentral:lncRNA from 1 species